GAUGAACGCUGGCGGCGUGCCUAAUACAUGCAAGUCGAGCGAACGGACGAGAAGCUUGCUUCCCUGAUGUUAGCGGCGGAAGGGUGAGUAACACGUGGAUAACCUACCUAUAAGACUGGGAUAACUUCGGGAAACCGGAGCUAAUACCGGAUAAUAUUUUGAACCGCAUGGUUCAAAAGUGAAAGACGGUCUUGCUGUCACUUAUAGAUGGAUCCGCGCUGCAUUAGCUAGUUGGUAAGGUAACGGCUUACCAAGGCAACGAUGCAUAGCCGACCUGAGAGGGUGAUCGGCCACACUGGAACUGAGACACGGUCCAGACUCCUACGGGAGGCAGCAGUAGGGAAUCUUACGCAAUGGGCGAAAGCCUGACGGAGCAACGCCGCGUGAGUGAUGAAGGUCUUCGGAUCGUAAAACUCUGUUAUUAGGGAAGAACAUAUGUGUAAGUAACUGUGCACAUCUUGACGGUACCUAAUCAGAAAGCCACGGCUAACUACGUG
rnacentral:rRNA from 1 species